GCUGGACCUUGUGGCUCAUGCCUAUAAUCCCAGCUACUGGGGAGGCGAAGGCAGGAGAAUCGCUUGAGCCCAGGAGUUGGAGGUUGCUGUGAGCUGUGAUGAUGCCACAGCACUCUACCCAGGCUGACAGCUUGAGGCUCUGUUCUGUUUCUUUUUUUUUUUUUGAGACAGAGCCUCAAGUUAUCCCCCUGGGUAGAGUGCUAUGGCAUCACAGCUCACAGCAACCUCCAACUCCUGGGCUCAAGCGAGUCUCCUGCCUC
rnacentral:SRP_RNA from 1 species